rnacentral:rRNA from 1 species
UACGUAGGGUGCAAGCGUUAAUCGGAAUUACUGGGCGUAAAGGGUGCGUAGGUGGUUAAUUAAGUUAUCUGUGAAAUCCCUGGGCUCAACCUGGGCAGGUCAGAUAAAACUGUUUAACUCGAGUAUGGGAGAGGGUAGUGGAAUUUCCGGUGUAGCGGUGAAAUGCGUAGAGAUCGGAAGGAACACCAGUGGCGAAGGCGGCUACCUGGCCUAAUACUGACACUGAGGCACGAAAGCGUGGGGAGCAAACAGG